rnacentral:rRNA from 1 species
UACGGGGGGAGCAAGCGUUGUUCGGAUUUACUGGGCGUAAAGGGCGGGUAGGCGGCCACCGCAAGUCAGUUGUGAAAUCUCUGGGCUUAACCCAGAAAGGUCAACUGAUACUGCGGGGCUAGAGUGCAGAAGGGGCAACUGGAAUUCUCGGUGUAGCGGUGAAAUGCGUAGAUAUCGGGAGGAACACCAGUGGCGAAGGCGGCUUCCUGGCCUGUUCUUGACGCUGAGGCGCGAAAGCUAGGGGAGCAAACGGG